rnacentral:lncRNA from 1 species
CGCGGCUGCUGCUGCCAGAGCGUUAAGCUUAAACGUAAUCCCGCUGGUUUUUCUUAUGCUUAGAGUAAAAGCUUUUCUUUUACUGAGAUGUAMUAGUUUUGCCGAUGCUCUUAAAAAUGGCUUUACAAGUUUACAGAGAUUAGAAAUACAUUUUUCUGGCAUCAAAAAUGGGGCUGUCGUUUAAUUUAAAAAGAAGAUGCAAACGAGCUGUUAAACCCGGUUAGCAAGCGCUUACAGCUUCUAGACCAGGGUGUCAAAGUUACAGCCGUGAGCUAGACACCUGCCAGGAGAAUUCACAUGGUCCGASGUCCACUGCCCACCCGCAGCAGUCUUUCAGGAGUUUCGUCUUUGAUUAGCUUGCUGUUACCUGGCAUCAGAACUGAUCAAGGAGUACUUCCCUGGGCACUCCAGAUCUUUUGGGCCACAUGAGGGAAAAUAAAGACAAGCAAGGACUCUUUAAGAGCAGACUGAUUUCAUUCCAGGAGGCAGGACCAGAAGAAGGUGAGCAAGGUCUGGCCGUGACCCUCAGCAACAAAUAUCAAGGGAUCACAAUAUGCAAAGGAUCACAGGGUUUGGCCUCAGUGGAAGGGCGUGAGCUUUGUGGAUGCCCAGGACUGUACAGGUUGACUGUGAUAUUCUUCUCUCUGUUUGCAACGUGGAUAUAUCUGCUUCAGUAUACACCAUUCUUUAAAAGUUAUCGACCUUGGAAAUAGUGUCUGCCAUCCCCUGGUUCUCCAUAUAAUUGUCCGUGUGCUAGAAGAAGAGAUUUUAAGGAUAGACAACAAAAAAAAAUUCCUCUAUUUUUCUCAUCCUUCUCCUAAUUYGGGGCCAUAUUAUUAGCAAUUCAGUAUGGUGCAUAAGCAAUAAAUAUUAUUCCAUGCCUCA